rnacentral:rRNA from 1 species
GCUUAACACAUGCAAGUCGAACGAGAACGGGUUAUAGCUUGCUAUAAUUGUCAGCUAAGUGGCGCACGGGUGAGUAAUGUAUAGGUAAUAUGCCUCUUACUAAGGGAUAACAAAUGGAAACGUUUGCUAAUACCUUAUACUCCUUAUUAACAUAAGUUAAUAAGGGAAAGAUUUAUUGGUAAGAGAUUAGCCUGUAUUGUAUCAGUUAGUUGGUGGGGUAAUGGCUUACCAAGACUAUGACACAUAACUGGUUUGAGAGGAUGAUCAGUCACACUGGUACUGAGACACGGACCAGACUCCUACGGGAGGCAGCAGUGAGGAAUAUUGGACAAUGGGCGCAAGCCUGAUCCAGCCAUGCCGCGUGCAGGAAGACGGUCCUAUGGAUUGUAAACUGCUUUUAUACAGGAAGAAACACCUCUACGUGUAGAGACUUGACGGUACUGUAUGAAUAAGCAUCGGCUAACUCCGUG